UACGUAGGGAGCAAGCGUUGUUCGGAUUUACUGGGCGUAAAGGGCGCGUAGGCGGCGCGGUAAGUCACUUGUGAAAUCUCUGAGCUUAACUCAGAACGGCCAAGUGAUACUGCAGUGCUAGAGUGCAGAAGGGGCAAUCGGAAUUCUUGGUGUAGCGGUGAAAUGCGUAGAUAUCAAGAGGAACACCUGAGGUGAAGACGGGUUGCUGGGCUGACACUGACGCUGAGGCGCGACAGCGUGGGGAGCAAACAGG
rnacentral:rRNA from 1 species